rnacentral:rRNA from 1 species
GGCCUAACACAUGCAAGUCGAGCGAACUCUUCGGAGUUAGCGGCGGACGGGUGAGUAACGCGUGGGAAUGUGCCUCGGGGUGCGGAACAACAGCUGGAAACGGCUGCUAAUACCGCAUGAUGUCUACGGACCAAAGAUUUAUCGCCCCGAGAUCAGCCCGCGUUGGAUUAGCUAGUUGGUGGGGUAAUGGCCCACCAAGGCGACGAUCCAUAUCUGGUUUGAGAGGAUGAUCAGACACACUGGGACUGAGACACGGCCCAGACUCCUACGGGAGGCAGCAGUGGGGAAUCUUGGACAAUGGGCGCAAGCCUGAUCCAGCCAUGCCGCGUGAGUGAAGAAGGCCCUAGGGUCGUAAAGCUCUUUCACUGGUGAAGAUGAUGACGGUAGCCAGAGAAGAAGCCCCGGCUAACUCCGUGCCAGCAGCCGCGGUAAUACGGAGGGGGCAAGCGUUGUUCGGAAUUACUGGGCGUAAAGGGCGCGUAGGCGGGAUGUCAAGUUAGGGGUGAAAGGCCUGGGCUCAACCUGGGAACUGCCUCUAAAACUGGCAAUCUAGAGUCCGGGAGAGGAUAGCGGAAUUCCCAGUGUAGAGGUGAAAUUCGUAGAUAUUGGGAAGAACACCAGUGGCGAAGGCGGCUAUCUGGUCCGGUACUGACGCUGAGGCGCGAAAGCGUGGGGAGCAAACAGGAUUAGAUACCCUGUA